UCGCUGCCGGAGCCUCCCGUCGCUCUCCCACUCAGCUUGGCCUCUCGAGUUGCAGCCUACUGCUUGCAAUCACUGAAAAAGAAAUUGCUUUGCCAGAGCGUGCAUGGAUGUGCAGGGUGUAGUGUUGCCGUUUGAUUCAGAGUGGAGAAUGUAUGGAGCUCCCAAGUCUGACCCCUCUACCAGUGUUAAAGUUAACAAUAACUAGGAUGCACUCAGAAUACUCAUGUAUUUGUUUCCCAUAUUAUUAUCAAUCCAAGGAUCGAAGAUUGUUUCCCAUAUUAUUAUCAAUCCAAGGAUCGAAGAAGAAAAAUAGGGACAUAGCAAAAUUGACUUUAGAGAGCUGGACCAGGAUCUACAAAAAUGAUCACACU